rnacentral:rRNA from 1 species
AGGACGAACGCUGGCGGCGUGCUUAACACAUGCAAGUCGAACGGUGAAGCCCUUCGGGGUGGAUCAGUGGCGAACGGGUGAGUAACACGUGGGCAAUCUGCCCUGCAUUCUGGGACAAGCCUUGGAAACGAGGUCUAAUACCGGAUACGACGCAUCUCCGCAUGGAGUGUGCGUGGAAAGCUCCGGCGAUGCAGGAUGAGCCCGCGGCCUAUCAGCUUGUUGGUGGGGUAAUGGCCUACCAAGGCGACGACGGGUAGCCGGCCUGAGAGGGCGACCGGCCACACUGGGACUGAGACACGGCCCAGACUCCUACGGGAGGCAGCAGUGGGGAAUAUUGCACAAUGGGCGAAAGCCUGAUGCAGCGACGCCGCGUGAGGGAUGACGGCCUUCGGGUUGUAACCUCUUUCAGCAGGGAGAAGCGCAAGUGACGGUACCUGCAGAAGAAGCACCGGCUAACUACGUGCCAGCAGCCGCGGUAAU